GCUGGGCAUAGUAGUGUAUGCCUGUAAUCCCAGCUACUUGGGAGGCUGAGACAGGAGAAUUGCUUGAACCCAGGAGGAAGAGGUUGCAGUGAGCUGGUAUCAUGCCACUACAUUCUAGCCUGGGUGACAGAGCAAGACUCAGUCUCAA
ensembl:misc_RNA Metazoa_SRP Metazoan signal recognition particle RNA